rnacentral:rRNA from 1 species
AGCAGUCGCCACGGUAAUACGAAGGGGGCUAGCGUUGCUCGGAAUUACUGGGCGUAAAGCGUGCGCAGGCGGUUUUGUAAGUCUGUCGUGAAAUCCCCGGGCUCAACCUGGGAAUGGCGAUGGAGACUGCAAGGCUAGAAUCUGGCAGAGGGGGGUAGAAUUCCACGUGUAGCAGUGAAAUGCGUAGAUAUGUGGAGGAACACCGAUGGCGAAGGCAGCCCCCUGGGCUAAGAUUGACGCUCAUGCACGAAAGCGUGGGGAGCAAACAGGAUUAGAGACCCCUGUAGUCCCUGUCUCUUAUAC